rnacentral:rRNA from 1 species
AUGGUACUUAAAGCUCAACAAAACGGCUUAUUCACAGGUCUGGCCUCCGACCUGAUACCAAAUGGAGUAGCUAUUCUACAGUACGCAGAUGACACAAUUUUGUGUUUUGAGGAUGAUCUUACAAAUGCUCUAAAUAUUAAGUUGCUCUUAUAUCUUUUUGAGAUCAUGUCAGGAUUGAAAAUCAAUUUCUUGAAGAGCGAGAUUUUCUCGGUCCGUGCGGACGAUGAGACUAUGCAUAAAUAUGCUGAGAUGUUCAACUGCCAAAUAGGUAAUUUCCCUAUAAAAUACCUAGGCAUGCCUGUCAGCUAUGCUGGGCUGAAGUGUAGCGACUGGAUCUUUGUGGAUGACAAAUUCAUUGAUCACUGUGAAAACUGGAUUAGUGAGGUGCUU